rnacentral:rRNA from 1 species
ACUCCUACGGGAGGCAGCAGUGGGGAAUAUUGCACAAUGGGGGAAACCCUGAUGCAGCCAUGCCGCGUGUGUGAAGAAGGCCUUCGGGUUGUAAAGCACUUUCAGUAGGGAGGAAGGUAGUGUAGUUAACACCUGCAUUAUUUGACGUUACCUACAGAAGAAGCACCGGCUAACUCCGUGCCAGCAGCCGCGGUAAUACGGAGGGUGCGAGCGUUAAUCGGAAUUACUGGGCGUAAAGCGCAUGCAGGCGGCCUGUUAAGUCAGAUGUGAAAGCCCGGGGCUUAACCUCGGAAUUGCAUUUGAAACUGGCAGACUAGAGUACUGUAGAGGGGGGUAGAAUUUCAGGUGUAGCGGUGAAAUGCGUAGAGAUCUGAAGGAAUACCGGUGGCGAAGGCGGCCCCCUGGACAGAUACUGACACUCAGAUGCGAAAGCGUGGGGAGCAAACAGGAUUAGAUACCCGUGGUAGGAUAGCG